rnacentral:rRNA from 1 species
GACGAACGCUGGCGGCAGGCUUAACACAUGCAAGUCGAGCGCGUAGCAAUACGAGCGGCAGACGGGUGAGUAACGCGUGGGAACGUGCCUUUUGGUUCGGAACAACUGAGGGAAACUUCAGCUAAUACCGGAUAAGCCCCGAGGGGGAGAGAUUUAUCGCCAAAAGAUCGGCCCGCGUCAGAUUAGGUAGUUGGUGGGGUAAUGGCCUACCAAGCCGACGAUCUGUGGGUGGUCUGAGAGGAUGAUCACCCACACUGGGACUGAGACACGGCCCAACCUCGUUCGGGAGGCAGCAGUGGGGAAUAUUGGACAAUGGGCGCAAGCCUGAUCCAGCCAUGCCGCGUGGAUGAAGAAGGCCCUAGGGUUGUAAAGUCCUUUCGACGGAGACGAUAAUGACGGUAUCCGUAGAAGAAGCCCCGGCUAAUUUCGUGCCAGCCGCCGCCGUAA